CUUCUUUCUGCUCCUGUCGCCAUGGCCCCGGCCUCGGCGCUCAAGCGACCCUCUCGCUCCGCCCAGGCUUCGUGGAGAGCAGCUGCCCCGCCGGCAUCUUCCGGAUGAGGCUCUCUAGACAACAAAGCCUUCUACGCGGAAGUUACUGACCCCUGGAUGCCCAGCUGCCGCACCUCCCGUGGCCCCACGCUGUGGCUACGUGUUGUCUGAAGACGCCUGGGGAAACCUUCAGGGCCUCUGUACUGGCCUGUCAUGUGGUCAACCAGGAUAAUAGAUGGUUUUCCCUCAGUGUGAACAUCGAGGUGUCUGGGUUCAUGGAAGCUGGUGAAGAAACCACCUACAACUAUACCAUGUCCUGUCCCUAUUUCACAUGGGCCUCGAGGAAGAUUCUCUGAAGGGAACUACAUGGAGAUCUCCUUGAUUGCACGGUCAACCCCGCUCCUGUCUGUCAGGCUCAGGAACCACUUACAAGCUAUGGCAGGUGAUGUUCCAGCAUCCCACAGGGAGGAUUAUGCUGGUGAGCCACAUGGCCAAGCAGGACUAUGGCUUCAACAGCUCUGGGGCCUGCAUGUUCCUGCAUUAGCCCUACUCCAGCAAUGAGGCUGAAGUUACCAGAGUGACAUCAUGGUAUCUGGUGCAAGCUAUAGCAUCCACCUAUUCUUGGAGCACACGUGGUCAGACACUGAUUGGCAUGUGACCAAGUUGAUGGUGGUCAAAACAGAACUCCUUUCAUGCCCACAAGCUUCAGUAUUACUAUGUUCCCUGCCACUUCCGUUGAAGUUUUGCAGGAUUGGGAUGAUCCUUUGGUGUGAACGAAGCCCCAAAGAGGACCACGUGGAGAGUGCCUGACUGUUCCUGUGAUGUCUUCUAGUACAUGAACAGGAAUGAAACCCACUAUGUCCUCCAUGUGAACUACAUGCUGAGCGUGGGUCCAGAUGGGAAACCAUUCUCCUACCCUGCAGAAAUGGUAUAUAGUUUCAAGGAUGUGGGUAAGUACACCAAGUGAGGUGCUGGUCCUGGACUCAUGGAUGGUCUUGGUACCCAACAAGUUACACUGGCUCUGUCCAAACAACAGCUGUGGAAGCCCCUCCCAUGGGAGGGGGGUCCCACUGGGGCUACACAGAAGUAACUCCUCACAAGUGGCUUGUCUGCAUCCUGGGAUUGGAAACCCAGUAUAGAAGCAGCUGUUGGCAGACUCAUGAAGUAAUACAGAGAAUGGGUGGCUGCUCAUACAAUCAGCAGUAAGACUUCACUUAAAUCAUGCCAGGAAUGACAUGAACAGGACUCAACGUACCCCAUACAGUCUUCCCUCCCAGGUGCCACCACCCCUGAAAUAUUAACCUUGGUAGACUUCUCCUGUCAAGGUCACAGUAAGGGUAGCCAGUGGUAUCAAGACCUUGGUAUAAAUCAGACAUGGCCUUCUUCCCAGCAAGGUCAUUAGGUACCCAAUGUAGAGAUAGCAGGGAAAGGAUAUAAAAACAGGAAAGUUCCAGGUGAGUCAUCUUUUGCCCCUUGACUAGGCCUGCCUAUAGGUUUGACAGCUCCAGGAAGUAAGAAAACAGGUAUAUUGUCUUCCUUCCUAUAGCUCUGCUAGGUGUCAUCCUCUUAAGGUCACUAGGAUUCUAGUGUUGAAGGCUUGCUGCCACACAGAUGGCACUGUUCUAUCCUCAAAGCAUUUUCAGGGUGCCAUCUAAUGGGUCUGAAUCCUGGUUCCAUUGCAAACUUUAAGCAAGGAACUCAGCAUUAUCCAAUCCCCAUUUUCUCCAACUACUGGCCCCCUCUAAGGAGGCUGAAGAGUGAAAGCAUGUUGAACACCAAGAUGCUCUCCAAAGAUGGAGUCCUUCUCUUCUGAGCCCCACAGCUCUGCAAGAUGGGUAAAACUCAAGGUGGCAUUAGGCUCUGAGAGGAGCUCCAUCACACAGCUGGCAUAGUAUGGAGCUGGACCAGAGCCCAAAUCCCCUAUCUCCCCACUGUCCUAACCAAAAGCUUACACUUCAGAACCCAAGGCCGUGAACACAGACCUCACACAGCUGUAACCUGAGAAACUGCCAUUGCUGAUCUAGUGCCAGAACCACUUCCCCAUCCCUGGCUUUCCUGCUGACUUCCCACGAGAUAAGACUUUUCUUUAAAAAGGGGGCCUUCUCAGCCACACGCAGUGGAUCACACUGUAAUCUCAGCACUUUGGGAGGCCGAGGCGGGUGGAUCACUUGAGGCCAGGAGUUCGAGAUCAGCCUGGCCAACAUGGUGAAACCCCAUCUCUACUAAAAAUACCAAAAAAAAAAAAAAAAAAAAAAAAAAAAGCAGGGCAUGGUGGCAUGUACCUGUAAUCACAGCUACCCAGGAGGCACAAGAAUUGCUUGAACCCAAGAUGCAGAGGUUGCAGUGAGCCUGUUUGUACCCCUGCACUCCAGCCUGGGUGACACAGUGAAACCCUGUCUCAAAAAAAAAAAAAGGAGCCUUUGGCCAGGCACAGUGGCUCACACCUGUAAUCCCAGCACUUUGGGAGGCUGAGGCGGGUGGAUCACCUGAGGUCAGGAGUUUGAAACCAGCCUGGCCAAUAUGGUGAAACCCUGUCUCUACUAAAAAUACAAAAAUUAGACAGGCUUGGUGGCAUGCGUCUGAAGUCCCAGCUAUUCAGGAGGCUGAGGCGGGAGAGCCUCUUGAACCCUGGAGGUGGAGGUUGCAGUGAGCCGAGAUCACGCAAUUGCACUCCAGCCUGGGCAAUAAGAGUGAAACUGUCUCAAAAAAAAAAAAGAAAAGAAAAGCCUUCUUGGGCUGACCAAGGUGGAUCAUGCCUAUAGUCCCAGCACUUUGGGAGGCCUGGGUGGAAGGAUUGCUUGAGUUCAGAGGUUCAAGACCAGCCUGGGCAACAUAAUGGGACCCCGUCUCUACAAAAAAUUUAAAAAUUACCAUGGCAUGCUGAUACAUGCCUGUAGUCCCAUCUACUCGUGAGGCUGAGGCGGGAGGAUCACUUGAGCCCAGUAGAUGGAGGCUGCAGGUAGCCAUGAUUGUGCCACUGCACUCCAGCCUGGGCAAGAGUGAGACGCUGAAUCAAAAAUAAAAGGCAUCUCACUUAAGGGCCUUCACACUAGGGCUCCAGUGGAAAAGUAAAAGGGCCAAAGGGGAGUGAUGAGAAAUGGAUGCUUGGGAGAGAAUAGGCCUCCAACAAGAUUCUUCAGUCUUGGUAUGCCAAGGCUGGACAAUAAGGAGAAUCGGACCCCAACCUGAGUCCCAUUUACCCAUUGUGUACUUUUCACAGAAAUUCCCUAGGCCAUUGGCACCUGUGACAGUGAGAACCUAUACUUGGCCAUCCCAGUAACUGACCCGCUCUCCUGUUGGGAGCUCUACAUGGGACACUGGCACCUGAGCCGUAGGCCAGGACCCCUUGACAUAGUCCUCAUGACAGAUAACUCCACCCAUCUGCUAUUGGCAGUGCAACUCUUUUCUCCAGGGGCGCUGUAUGAGGGGGUCCCCCGAGGGCUUAAGCUGGUUGACGGGCUAAGGAGGGUGGAGAGAAGUUGUGCAGCCACUGUCCUGGGCCAUCAGUCACAGCGGUGUGUCACUUCAGACACAAGGAAGUGCCUGGAUGGUCUUGGUGCCCAACAAGUUGCAUUGGCUCUGUCCAAACAGCGGCUGUGGAAGCCCCUCCCAGGCCAGGGAUGCGGGCUUGAGCAAUCCCUGUCCAGUGUUCUCGGGGAGCAGAAUGUAUGGUAUCUAAUACAGUCUACAACAGCAUUUGUGAGGAAUGGCCUGUGUUUGGGUGCAUGUCAUGCCAUUAAAAUCCCUAGAACUAGAAAGAAGUGGCUUCCAGAUCCCAGGCCCCCUGGGCGACUCUCAGCAUCCUGGGCCCCACAGGCCUCAGCUGCCAGAUCUGCCCCAAUGGCCAGGACUGCGUGGCAUCUGUUUCUGAUGAAACUGAACCCAGCUGUGGGGUGGGUCCCAGGAUCUCUCCCUCCAGAGGAUUUGCGCCCAGCUUGAGGUGGCCCCAAAGAAAACUGACAUGCUAGAGACUCCAGAAACCUUCUCCAUGGAUUUACCCCAUUGGGAGAGAAAAGGCCUCCAACAAGACUCUUCAGUCUUGCUAUGUCAAGGCUGGACAAUAAGGAGAAUCGGACCCCAACCUGAGUCCCAUUUACCCAUCCUGUACUUUUCACAGGACUUCCCCAGGCCAUUGGCACCUGUGACAGUGAGAACCUAUACUUGGCCACCCCAGUAACUGACCUGCUCUCCUGUUGGAGCUCUACAUGGGACACCAGCUCCCAUGCAUUUAUCCCUUUUCAGACCUCACUGGUGAGAAGCUGGGCUUCUGGGUCCCCAUGCUGCUUCAUCCCACCUCCCAACCCUGUCUUCAGGCCCACUGCUGAUCCCAGUCUAGAACCACAGCACCGCCCCCAUCCUGCAUGAAGAAGGCCUUGUGCAUCUGCCUUGGUGAGAUCUUUCCAGGCUGACUGGUCUGUACUCCCUGGGGAGAUGAUCGAGACCAGCUCACACUGCUGUGUGUCACAUCCAUACCUUCUAUGGGAAAACUAACCCCCCUCGCCUCCUAUGUGAAGUCUCAGGCUUCACAGCCCAUUUCAAAUGCUGUUUCUCCUAUAACCACAUAGCCUGCCAACCACUGGAUCUCCUUUCUGGUUCCUCCCUCUCCCCCCAACUUUUUCCUUUUGAACUCUCAUAAUCAGAGCCAUAACCAUUUUCUGCCUUGCACUAGUUACUUGUCCUUGACUGUCUUUAUUUUCCCUUCUGAGCUGACUUUCUUGAAGGCAGGGCCCCCAACCUGAUCACCAUGCCUCAGAUAGUAUCCAGGUUUUGCCUUCAGCCCCUCAAAUAAUACAUAUAAAAAUGAACAAAUUCCAAUAUUUAUCCACAACCUACUUGAUGGCCUAAAAAUGCAUUUUAAAUGGGUGUGUCUGAGGUAACUUGUGAAAAGCCCUGGGGUCAGGAGCCAAGUCCUACCUCAAGGAGCAGCAUAAAGGCUUAGCCCAGCCUCGUCCAAGGACUGCCAGGUAAAAUAGAGAACAGACUUUGAUCAAAAUAUGGUUGGAAACAGGAUGGUUGUGAGAACUAUGGUUGUGUUCCUAGUGUGUUUCCCUAGUGGGACUGUGGCCAUCUCUUCCAUGAUGGCCACAGACCCUUCCAUUGACAUGUGCAAGGCCACACUGAAGGAUUGCACCUGCAAGCCAACAGAGUCUAGCAGCAACCAAACCUUCUUCUGACUUGACGUCACCAGCCGUGGUACCUCAGUGAGGGUGAGUAAGGCAAAAGGGCCACCUGCUCCUGCCAGGCCUUAGCAUACCAUCUAAGCUUUUUCUUCUCAGUCCUGUGGUAUUGUUCCAUUUUCACACUGCUGAUAAAGACAUACCUGAGACUGGGCAAUUUACAAAAGAAAAAGGGUUAAUGGACUGACAGUUCCACAUGGCUGGGGAGGCCUCAUGAUCAUGUCAGAAGGUGAAAGGCAUGUCUCACAUGGCAGCAGAUGAGAAGAGAAGACUUGUGCAGGGAAACUCCCCUUUAAAAAACCAUCAGAUCUCAUGAGACUUAUUCACUAUCACAAGAAAAGCACAGGAAAGACCUGCCCCCAUGAUUCAAUUACCUCCCACUGGGUUCCUUCUACAACAUGUGGGAAUUGUGAGAGCUACAAUUCAAGAUGACAUUUGGGUGGAGACACAGCCAAACCGUAUCACCCAUGUUCUCCAUAUGCUCUAAAAUCUUGGGUUAUGUAGUUUGAAGGUGACUAUAUUAUAUAUGAAAAGGGAAUCAUGUAUGAGAAGGAACCCUUGCUAUGAAGGGCUGGCCCACAAUUACAAGAUAUCCAGACUACAGGUGAGAUGGCCACUGUAUGAAUGGAAGUCAGCUGUGCCCCUGAGCUUCAUCUCACUGUUGUCCCCACCCCUGUCCUCAGGAAAUUCCAGCUGACUAGGGAAGAGAAUGCCAGUGUAUAGUUUGCAGCAGGAGGAACUCAAAACAUCAGUGACAGUGCCCCAAAAUGCUUCAGUUUCCAUGUUCUCUUUUUCAUUUUUUAGGUCCUAUUUUACUUCCUUACCUAAUACUUAUUAUAUUGGAGGUAUGAUGUAAAUUGGAGUAAUACUGACAGACCUUCUUCUUUGAUAGACUAAGCAGUGUUGCUAGAAACAAAUCAUUGCAUAACUAAAUCAUGAUCCACCAUGCACAUAGCCCACCAACCAAUGGAGAAGACCAGCAGAACAGAUAGUAGGCUAUCUCUUCCAGCCUCAAGCCCCAAUGCUGUCAUUCCUAAGUUGAGACGUUGAAGUCUCUUUGCCUCCCUGGUACAGAGUCUGUUUGCCUUGUCUUGUCCAUGAACCAGAGUUCCUUCAAGUCCUUUCUUGCUCUGCAGUUCUACAAACCAGUGAGCCUGCUCUUGCCUCCAUGCUUGUCCUAGGCUGAUGCUGCUCUGCUACUACUCAGUUAAAGAAACAUUGGCCCAAGAGGACAGGCACAAGGACAGGUGGAAGAAGAAAGCUGUCCUGCCACCAGGAGAUGGCAUGGUGGUAUGGCAGUCCCAGGUCCGAGGUCAAGGAGUGGCUGGGGAACAGAGGGAGAACUUUGAGUAUUUCUGCCUGGGUGCCCUCAGCUUGACAUUCUCUCAUUCAGCAGGGCCUCAGAGAGAGCAGACAGACACUGGAGAUCCAGGCAAGAGUAGCUCAAGCUGCAAAAAAGAGAAUAACCUGCUAGAGGUAGACUUUUACCCUGUCUCCCAGGGUGAGAAGGUCCAAUACCCCUCAUUGGUCAAGAAGCUGGUGAAGUUUGUGGCACCCAGAUUCAAAGAGGUGUAUCUGUACCACCUGACCCAAUCCUGCCUACACUUGGACCCUGACGGGCAUUGUGGUGGCCAGUACUAUCCAGAGGAGAGAGAAGGAGGCCAGAAGAGAGCACUUGACCAUCUGGCUCUGGUUCCAGUGACUCCAGGACUUAUAUGCCCACAAGCCAAAAGAAGAUCAAGAUCUGAGUGGGAACUGUGGAAAGCAUGUCAUGCGAGCCCCUGCCGCCCUUGAAACUCUGCGUUCCUCCUCCUCAAAGAACAGUGCCUGAAGGUCCUGGCUGUGGCCCUGGCUGGCCAUCUUGCUUCCUGGUCACGGUGGUGGCCACUGUGCUGGUCCUGUCCAAGAUGACCUGUACAUCAUUCCAUGAAUGACACGUGACAACAGCUUCCCAGUGUAAUAAGCACAUUUAACCCAGCACUUGUCAGCCCCACUGUUCUGUUGGAAGUGUUCUAUCUCACUGAUCUUGCCUCUCCUAAAGCAAGGGACAACUCCUGGCACUCCGCUGCAGAGGCCCUUGAAGCCUGUUGGAAUUUUAGUGAAAUGAGAUGCCUGGCUUAAGCCAUGUUGCCUGGCUUCUCAAGUACCAGCGGACAUAUUACUAGCAAGGAAGAAGGCUAGCAGCAAGAAUGGUUAUUGCAUCCUAGAGGCAUUUAGUGGAGGAGAAAACUGCCCUGGUACCGCCAUAGCCCUAAGUGCUGCCCAGAGUUCUGAGCUCUCGAUGAGCACUUGGAACACGUCUGCCUGCAGCCUCCCUACACUUUUUUAUGACUUGUCCUACUUGUCAAGCCCAGCUUGUCCCACUUCUCCACAUGAGUCUUCCAGUGACAUCUUUGUGACCAUCUCCACCCCCUGGGUAAAUGCUCCACGCUGGGAGUCCACAAAACACAGUCUGACUUAGAGAUUCUCUGGCAUGACUCUCUUCCCCACUGUGUACACUGACUGCCUUAGAUGUAGGCCUCUUGUUUGGGGCCCUUCCUGGCCAGACCCUGAAGCAGCCUCUGAGGAGGGUGGUAAGAAUGGUUCCCUAGAGCCCAGUUACAGAGUCUGCCUCCUUUCCAGAUCAUGCUGUAAUGGACUGAGAUCUCAACUCAGCCCACACUCUUUCCUGGCCUACAUAGCCGUCUCAGAAGGGCAAUGUUUCUCGCUGUUAAAGCGGGUGGUCCCUCUUGCUAACCUAGCUGAGCAUCAGGUACUGGUUAGCUGUAAGGGCUGGGAAGUGGGGGGUGUACCCAUUGGCCUUGGUGAUGAAGACAGCCAGGUAUCCAAGUCCCAGCCGGGACUCCUGCUGGGCCAUAAAGGCUUCAAUAUGCUGGCUUCUCCCCAUUGAGGACCUCAGGCCCCAGUUCAUUAUCAGGAUUUUAGAAAUACCAAGAACAUCAAAAGAACAGAAAAGAGGCCCUUAAGGGACUCCUAAUAAGAUAGAAUUUGCAUGUCCUCAUUGGACUAGAACCUGAACUGCUUUAAAAAGCAAAAGGCCCUUGGUACAAUCUGAUGGAUGUGACUGUACAGAGAAGAGGAAACACCUCUGAGGGGAGUGAGAGGCCUUGGUAAGGAAGUUGCAAUCUGGAGCCACCUGGGCAGGUCAGAGCUCUAUAAGCAGGAGAAGCCAAGGGCAUAACACACAGUAGUGCAGGUGUCAGCCAGGAAUCAAGGCUAUGACAGCUGGAGUCCCGGGCCAAGAACUACAGGGGGAAGGAGGAGAAAUGCUUGUUCCCCCAACUCCUAUCUCCUGCCAUGGGGGUGGACUUCUACUAGCUAUGACAUUCCUACCAUCUCUCUGCCUCUUCCCUCUCUCUUUUCUCUCUGCCCCACCCUGGGACACGGUGACUUCCCUGAUGCUAGGGGGAGGGGAUGGUGUGGGUUAAAAAAAAAAAAACAAGCUGCAUAGCUCAGCCCCUUCCUCUCUCCCCUCACUCUCCUGGGGGUGCCUGCUUUCAGAGUCUGUGCAGCUCUUGUCUCCUUCUUACCAUAACCCUACCUGGGCGGCAGCAGCCGCCGCCCACACCCUCCCCUACCCCCAUGGCACUGCCUGCCACAUCCAGGACCAUUUCCGAAUUCUGAGGCUCUGUUGUCGGAGUGUCCCCUCUAAGCUGCAUCCUGCAACCCAGUCCUAUUCCCAGAGAAGCCCAACAUCCCCUCUGGAUCUGCCUGUCUGCAUUACCGUUUGGUUCAAAACCCAGUGCUGGUUACUGGGCCUCUCAGGACACCAGGGAGGCUGGGCUGGGGAGGACUGGUGGGCGAGCUGUCCCCUCCACAUUCUGCCAAUGCCUGGGACGUGAAACUCAUUCCUGUUUCCAUGAGACUCGUAUCCUUAAUGUCCCUUUUGACUUCAGCUAAUUCUGAGUAAGUUUUUGACCCUCGCACCUAAAUUUGGCCCAAGGCAGAAACAGCGGGGAUUGGCUUCUCUGACGGCUGAGUCACUUGUCUUCCUGUCUUCUCCCUCAUAUUCCACUUCUUGUGGGCGUGAAUUAAAGUAGAACCAGGCAGGCGACACUCUCCUGUUGGUGACCAGCGUUCCACAGUAAAAUGGGGUGUGACAGCAGCUGGCAGAGCAGCAGCCUGCCCGGGGCUGUGGGCCACAUCCCCCCUCCACCCCAACCAAGCAGCCUGCCCUGCCCUGGUGCCAGGCGCCAAUCGGCUGAGCAAAAUAGGCUGAACUCAGGCCCUGCGAGGCCAGGACGGCGCCUAUCAAGAACUCCUGUUCCCUCCAGGGCAAGAAGAGGGAGGAGCGAGGCUUGCCCUGAGCGGAGGGGCUUCAAAACUGAGCCCUGGGCAAAAUGGGGCAAGUUGGUCACCCUAGAGGGAGCUUAGGUUUAAGGAAAAGAAUCUGGGACCUUCUAGCUUUGACUCCAGUCUAACAUAACUCUCUGAUUGUCCCUUUAGUAAAAUAGAAAUAAUGUCAGUCUUGAAAGAAUGUCAUGAGGCUUUCAUGAGGACACAUGGAAAUGGCAGACAUUUGUCUUGCUGGAAGGUUCUCCCGUUUCCCCGCCCCUAUUCCAGGUAGGUUGCUGUCCUCAGUACCUGAGGUUUUAUGUGGAAUCACCAUUCUCCUUCCCAUGAUUGUAAGUCAGAUUAUAAGCAGCAUUUGAGUAGAUGGAAAUGUGAUUAGGUCUAUGUCCCUCAUCCCAACAUUCUUUAUGCCAGCUUUCAUUCCCACAGCUCCAGCUGGAGACAUGCACCCACAACUUAGCAGUGCCUUGGGGUGUCCUGUCUACUGCAGGACGUCUUCAGUGCCCAUAACGUUCUUCUCCAAAUUAGGUUUCUGAGCCUUUGCAUAUUACAUCACAGGGCUGGGCCCAUGGGACUGCAAUCCGGGAGGAUGGUCCUAGGCACAAAAUUGAAUCUUGAGAUAGGUCUAAGGUUUGCCAUCAGGAUUAAUGAAAAUAAGUGUACACCGGGGCAUGCUUCACUAACUGGAAGUCACUAUUAUUAAACUGAGAACCGGAAGGGCUAGAUCUGGUCAUAAUUCUGUUAACCAACUGCAUAACCUUUAAGCCGGAACCUUUACCUGUAAAAUAAAGGAGUAGAUGAUUUCUCCAGUUCCUUCCCGCUCAAGUGUCCUAUGACUGAUUAAAAUUAUGUGUCCAUUAAGCAGCUCAAAAGGAAUUAUGUCUGGCUAUCUGAAAGCUCACAGCCAGCCAAGGAGGAAGUGCACUAAAGGCGAGGCCCGGCUGCUCCCCAGCCCAGCACUGCUCGCUGCUGUGUUAAUUGACAAUGAUGGAACAAAGCACAUUUUAUGAGAGUUCAUGAGUAGGAAGUCCAAGGAGCCUAUACAUUAGUCACGUCUGAAAAUCUUCCUUGCUGGUCCUGCAAGCCAGAGGAGCUGGCCACUGCCACUUACCCAGAUGAAGGACAUGUCGAUCCAGAAAAGGGAACAGUUAGCCAACAUUGCUUUAUUUGCUCAAUCGUAAUAACUUUUUCCAGGGAGAAAACCCACGUAAAACUAUUGGAGACAGAAUUCUGGAUCAAGUCAGGCCACAACAUAAAAUUACAUGGUAACAAUGGUCUCCAAUUUGAGAGAAGCAGCAUAAUGCACCCCAACCUCCCACAAAAACCUCAAACCCUUGACUCGGGAAAACAAGAAGGUCAUCUUCCAUCGGCCCUUUCCUCCACUGUCCUUCUCCCCAGACUCCCUUGUGCUUGUAUAGGGCAGGGAGGGGUAAGGAAAACAGAUCAGUUGCCCUGGGACGUCAAUCACCCUGUUGAAACUGGUCUGAGUGCCAGACAGACAACCAACAUGGCUCCUGCCUUCAGGGUCCACAUCUUGAAGAGGGAGAGGAACACAGGAAAUGGAAAAGCACCCUGGAAUUAGAUGCUGGGCCAGAUGAACUGGAAGUAGUUCUUAAACUUGAGUGUGCCUCAGACUCCCCAGGGGCCUUGUUAAAACACAGAUGGCUAGACCCUACCCCCAGGGAGCUAGAUUCACUUGGCUUGGGGUAGGGCUGAUAUUUUGCAUUUCUAACAUGGUCCUAGGUGCUGCUGGUCCAUAGACCAUGUGCUGAGAACCAGUACUACAGACAGUGCUCCCCAUACUUUAGUGUGCGUAUGAACCGCCUGGGGGCCUGGGUAAAGUGUGAGCUCUGAUUCAGCAGGUCUGGUACAGGGCUAGGGAUCUGCAUUUCUAACAAGCUCCCAGGUGAUGCCAAUGCUGCCGGUCUGUGGUCCCCAUUCAGUAGCAAGGGUGCUCCAUCUAGACCAGAGUGUGAUGGAAGUUAGAGAAUGAGAUGAGUUUGGGUUGAUAUUGGCAGGGAAGGUUUAAUGGUAGUUACUGGGACUUGGGCUGGUCCCAGAAGAAUGAGCAGGAUUUAAAUAAAUGAAAAGGCUGUAUUCUGGGAGAGAAAUUUGAACACAGACAGGGCGGUGGGAUUGAGAAUAGCAAGGGUAGAGGAGUGGGCACUGGCCAUUGUCACAGAUGAGUGACACACCGAGGCUUGGGGCCCUGCAUGCAGGCGCCUUGCUCCAUCUGCCUCCACACCACCCUCCCCAAGCAAGAAGCUGGUGCAGUUCCAGUAAGUCUACUGGCAGCCAGUCUUCAUAAUGGAAAUAAUUAUUGUUCUGUGAGUCCCAGACUGACAGCUCCCAAUCCUGCCUGCUCAGCCAACUGGGUUAUUUUUUCACCUGGCUUGUUAGCAAUGGUUUGUUGUUUGGCAGCAUGAAGUGACUCCCACUUUUCCUUUCCAAUCUCAAGUCAGAGAAACCUCAGUUCUCCGAGAGUUGAAUGUCUCGAAGCCACACGGGGGUGGUUAUGGAUUUCUCAGCAGGCAGCCAGGGCAACCAGCAUGUUCUAUAUGGUGCUCAGUCAUGGGUUCCUCUCCUGAUCCAGUGAGGGUCAUGAUCAGAUAAAGGAGUAAUAGCCCCUUCUUUCCCACACCCACCCCCCAACCUUGGAAGUCUUCCGUUUUCAGGUUUGUUCUAACAAAAGGCUCACCUUUUCUUCAAUAGAGCUGCAUGUGUAGGUGCAGAAACAUGCGAGCUCAUGUGCAAAAGGCCUGUCAUUUGAAAAUGAAACUACUAUUUAUUGGGUUUCCCAGCAGUGCUGUAACGAGGCACUACAAACUGAGUGGCUUAUAACAACAGAAAUUUAUUUUCUCACAGUCCUGGAGACUGGGGAGUCCAAAAUCAAGGUGUUGGCAAGGGCAUGCUCCCUCUGAAGCCUCUAGGGCAUGGACCUCACCCCUGGGGAGCUGGAAACCCUUCCUUGCUUUUUCCAGUUUCGGGUAUCCCUGGGUGUUCCUUGGCUUGUGGCAGAACCACUCCAGUCUCCACCUCUGUCUUCACAAGCCGUUCUCCCCAGUGUCUGUGUCCAAAUUUCCUUUUCCUUGUAAGGACAUCAGUCACACAAGGUAUCUGUAAGGACCCACCCUACUCCACCUGCAUCUUCUUAACUAAUUAGAUCUGUCAUAACUUUAUUCCCAAAUAAGGUCACAUUCUGAGGUACUGGUAGUUAAAACUCCAACAUAUCUUUUUGGGGGGCCCAAUUCAACUCCUAACAGGUAACUUUAUAGUUUAUAACAUUAUAUUACCUGCUGAAUUUGACCUUGUCUUUUAGAGGGGCUUUUUCCUCUAAACUAGAAUAGUGACCUGUUUUAAAUAAAAUCGAUGCUGAACUAUAAAUCAGGCCCUAUUCUCAAGGUCAGCUGAGAAGGGCUCAAACACUUAUCCACCCCAUACCUAUUAGCCAGUGAUGAAUCUGUAAGCUCUAAAUAGCAAGUUACUGAGCAGAUUAUGAUAAUGAAUUCACUUAUCCAUUCAACACAUGUAAGGCCCUUCUGCAUGCCAGGCCGUGGUGCUGAGGACACAACAGUAAACAAAAGAGACAAAAGUCCCUGCCCUCUCAGAGCUUGCCUUCCAGUGUGGGAAAGACAAAAUAAAUAAGAACAUGGUUUGGGUAAACAGAAAAAAGAUGAGUAUGAUGAGGAUUUGCUAUUUUAAAGAGAGCGGUCAGAGAAGGGCCAGGAUAAGGCCAUGGGGUAAGGCAGGGAGAAAACAGCACAUGUAAGUUCCUCAACGUGAGUCUUUGUGAAGACUCUGCUUCUCACUGAGAGAAGCCAUGGCACACUCCCAAACCUUCACUCUGGUGGCUGUGUUGAAACUGACUUUGGAGGUAAAACUGACAAAGCAGGAUACUUGCAAUACAGAGGGGCUGAUGUCUUGGCUUUGGGUGGUAGCGGAUGAGAUGAAAAUUGCUGGAAUCGGGAUCUGUUUCAAGGUAGGAACCCACAGUGUUUGCCGCUGGGGAGCACUGGGACCAAGUCUGGCAUGAGAGGCGGGACAGUACAGCUGCCAUUAGCUGUGCUGGGGGAGGACCAGGAACUCCGUUUGGGAUGCUUUAAGUUUGCACAACAUCAACUCUGUGAUCUUAAAAAGAGCUUUCCAAUAAAGUGGAAAUAGGUUCAAAUAACGUGGUGCCAAAAGAAUACAUUCAAAGGUAUUCUUGGUACACAGGAGUCAAAAUUGCCUAGAGGGAAAAGAGGCACUCAGGUGGUGAACACAACUAAUAGUAAUUUUUUCAAGAGGUGACUAGCAGCCAUAGGAAAGGGAGCCUUUUAACCCUUUGUUUCUAGUUAUUCUGGCUAAAAAUGGUUAGCUGUAGAGAAAAAUAUGAAAGGCGGGGGGUCUUUUUAUUUAUACCUCCUGUACUGUUUUAAUUUUUAUUACCAUAGCCAUGUAUUAAUUGUAUAUCAAGAAAUUGGCAAGCACUUUUCAUGCGGCUUUAAAAAUUAUGUGUCAAAGCAGAAUAAGGUAGACUUCUAAGUUCUUACACAAAAGAAUGUUCAAAAUAAUAAGUGAUUUAAGUUACCAAAUAAUAUGUAUACCAUAAUUCUGCGCAUGUAUCUGCAUACCUGUGCCCAUGUAUUUGUACAAAGAAAAAGGCCUAGAAGGAUAGACAGGAACUGCUUUUUACCUUAUAUUCUGCAGGUUUGCCACUUUUAAAAGGAGUACUUUUUGCAUGUGUUUAAAUUGAAUGUGAUGGCCUUCCCUCUACUUCGCUUCAGCCAGAGCUCAAGCCUCCACACACUCCAAACAAGAAUUGUUGAAUAGUUUAAAGAAAUAGGCGGGCUGGGCACGGUAGCUCACGCCUGUAAUCCCAGCACUUUGGAAGGACGAGGCAGGCAGAUCAUGAGGUCAGGAGUUUGAGACCAGCCUGACCAACGUGGUGAAACCCGGUAUCUACUAAAAAUACAAAAAUGAGUUGGGCUUGGUGGCACAUGCCUGUAAUCCCAGCUACUCAGGAGGCUGAGGCAGGAGAAUCCCUUGAAACCCAGGAGGUGGAGGUUGCAGUGAGCUGAGAUCACGCCACUGCACUCUAGCCUGGGCAACAGAGCGAGACUCUGUCUCAAAAAAAAAAAAUAAAUAAGCAACAGAAAAAAAAACUGAAGCUUUUCAGUCCCCCUUGGCUCUUAUUCCUGCUAGAAAUAAUGUGACUAUGUAAUAAUAAAUUCUACUUAAGGGUUGUAUCAGUCUGUUUUCACACUGCUAUAAGGAACUGCCCCAGUCUGGGUAAUUUAUAAAGGAAACAGGUUUAAUUGACUCACAGUUCAGCAUGGGUGGGAAGGCCACAGGAAACUUGCAAUCACGGCAAAAGGGGAAGCAAGGCACCUUCCUCACAAGGCAGUAGGAAGAAUGACAGAAGGAGGAACUUGCCAAACCCUUAAAAACCAUCAGAUCUCGUGAGAAUUCACUCACUAUCACGAGAACAGCAUCGGGGAAACAGCUCCAUGAUUCAAUUACCUCCACCUGGUCUCUCCCUUGACAUGUGGGGAUUAUGGGGAUUACAAUUCAAGAUGAGAUUUUGGGUGGGGACACAGCCAAACCAUACCAAGGGUUUUUUGUUGUUUCUUCAGUAGUAGGGCCAAAAUGUUUUUUGAAGUUAAGCACGAUUCUUAUAAGAAUAUAGAAUGAAAAUGUGAAAAAUGUUUAACUCAUUAAUAGAGAACCGCCAGAGUGGUAAAAGAGCAUUAGAAUAACUGAGUACUUAUGGUCCAUGAAGAAAGAAUUUGGGAAUAAAGUUGCUAGGUUAAAUACAAAACUGGUUAACGUUCUUCAGGGCAAUACAGCCAAAACUUUUGGGGUUAUCUUUUCUACCAGAGUUCAUUUGCAUCUCCUCUGGACAAAAAUCUGCAAGUUACAUGCAACCUCCCAGAGUCUGGGCCCUAAUCAAGAGUAAAUAGAAAAUCAAAGAAAGGCACACACAUGGCUCCCCAAAAGAAUUAAACAGUCGUUGAGUGGGUCUGCUGGUAUGAUAUUGAAAUGCCAUGCAAAUCCUUUUGCCUUAUUUCUACGUAUUGGAUGCUUUUUUUGACAUAAGAUAAAAAUUUACAUAUUGGCAGCUGUAGCUAUCUAGUUUCCAAAUGGAGUUUGCUCUUAAAAUUAAUCUGCUUUUCACCAUCUUUUGUGUCUGUUUUUAAUAAGAAAAAUGACCACCAAGCAAUGUGGGCAUUGCAAUAACAUUCCAUUAUUUAAAAACAUACUUUAAUAUUAUUCUGAUACUCACUUUGCUGGGUACUAAAACAUUUUAUGAGCAAUUUAAAUUUUUUAUCAGGACCAAAAAAAAAAAAAAAAGUCCACAUAUCUGCUGUGAGUUGAUGCCAACAGCAAAAACAUUGAUACUCAUUGCAGUUUCAAAUAUUUAUAUGGAUUUUGGACACAACCUUGCACAAGUUACUCAAUUUCUUAGCUUCAUCCUCUAUGCAGAAUAAGACCUUCACUAAACUGCUAUAUUUAUGAUUUUGUGAUGACACAUAUAAACCUGGGAUUACACUGUUGUGUUCCUAUUUUACUUUUAUAUCCACAUUCAUAAUUUCAGUUUCGGGGCUUCCUUACAGGUUGCUUGUUUUAUAAUUUGUCUUGCUACAUGACGUGUUCUUUUACCUUCUUGUGAUUUUAAAAAGGAUAAACUAUGUGUUUUAAUUGUAUCAAUUGCUUUGUUUUUUCAAAAACAGAAAUUAGACUAUACUCAUCCUUCUUUCCUUUCUGUAGAGUGAAAUGGUGUCAUUUGAAGUCCCUUAACAUUAGAUUUGAAAUUUAACAAAUCUCACUCUCCCUCUUUUACCAACUGCCAUUUUAAAUUAUGGGCAUUCUGUUCUCACAAUUUACUGUCACAUUUUUUAGAAACACAGAAAACACCAAAAUGUGAAUUUAUAUAGAAAUUGUUAAAAUUACACACCUAGCGUAAAUAGCAAAUAUUCAGUCAACUUUUCACUAUGCUCUUGAAAAGCUAUUACACAUUUGUCAACAAUUUGUUUAGCGUAGCAAUAUGUUAACCUAAACACACUAAAUUCAGCAUCCAUUUCAGGCAGAGAUGAGCCGUCUGAUUUACUCAACACAUUUCUAGUUAGAGAGCAUCACAUGAGACAAAGUGGAAUCGUGCCACAUAUUUGAAUGAAGCCAGAAGCAGCACUUUUUAGGACUCUUAGAUCUGUUUUGUGCAUGAGCUGUUGUUUUUGAAACACUCUCAUGUUUAGUCAUUAAUUUGCAUAAAAUUUUUUCUGUGUUGUAACUUUAAGUGCAGUUUGCAUGCAAGACCAGUAUACCCAAAAACCUUGAAAAAAUGGUGCAGCAACUCUGAAUAUACCUUCAAACCAUUGAACUGUACACUUUAAAUGGGUAAACUAUAUGAUAUAUGAAUUAUUCUCAAUAAAACAAAAAACUAGCACAGUAAACAUUCAUGCUCAGCCUAGACAAUGUGGUGAAACCCUAUCUCUACAAAAUAUACAAAAAUUAGCUGGGCAUGAUGGCGCAUGCCUAUAGUCCAAGCUACUUAGGAGGCUGAGGUGGGAGGAUCACCUGAGCCCAGGGAGGUCAAGGCUGCAGUGAGCUGUCAUCAAGCUACUGCAAUCCAGCCUGGGCAACAGAGUGAGACCCUGUCUCAAAAAAGAAAAAAAAAAAACAUGCUAUUACGGUUUAUAUACAAACUGUUUACUUCUGAGUUAAAUUUUUAAGGGGGCUAGACUUAGCAGAAAGGGAGACAUUGAGACAAGAAUCAGUGUAAACGCUGAGUGGUAGGUGGGGUUGAAAUAUAUCAUGCCCACGGAGAAAGAUUUAAGACCUACAAAAUGACAGGGAGCCAAGGCUACAUUUAGGAUUCAGAGGGUAGAGAAGCCAGUGAAAAACAGAAAACCAAAAAAGACAGAGCAAAAGAGCAAAUGACAGAGCAAAAGAGCAAAUAGAUAAUGACUAAAGACUAACUUGGAUAUUUGCUUUGCUAUCAUAAAGUAAAGGGUUUUAUUCAGUUCCAAAUUUCAGAAAAAAACAAAUAGCUCCACACUUUUCAACUACUGUUAGGAGUAAUAUUCUAAACUCAAAAGUAACUUAAAUCCAUUUUAUCCUAUCUUACCUCACUUUGUGAAAGAGAAACCUUAUAACAAACCACAAUUCUUUUGUUUUUACAAAGGAAAAAAUUAGAAAACAUAAGUUACUUUUCUAGUAGAAAAAGGAAAUAACGAAUACUGAAAUGUGGGAAAUAUGAACGGUAAUGAAUAUAUUUUAAGGUAAAUAUCCAAGGUAUUAUUUGGUCAAUCAGAAACUUAGAAUCUGAAUAAUGCCUAAAGUUUCAACGCUAAACAAGGUAAAUGAAUUAUUCUUUAUUUCCAGUAACAAGACAAGAGAAAAUGAGUGCCUGGGUCUACAAUCAGCAACUGCUGAUUCUGAACUUAAGUGACUUUUUUUUUUUUUUUUCUGAUAAAGGAUGAAGAAAUUUUGAAUAUAAUCUAACAAACCACAUGAAAAUGUUAAACAAUUUUUCCUUUUCAUAUUCCAUCUGAUCCCAGUCAAGAGUAAAGAGAAUAUGAGUCAAGAGAAAAUAAAAUUAAACAUUAAGCAUUUGCUUCUCUGGGUGGAAUGGCUUAAAGCUUUCCCUCCCAAGGUCUAGGAAACUUGCUUUUUUAAAAAAAAAGUUUUCCUAAGGAUUUUUCUACAUUUUAAUGCAAUUUUAGAAAUUUUUUUAGAUUUCCAACAAAUAUAAGAUAAACCGUUUUGGAAAGUAUGAAUAAUUCCAGAAACAGAGACUUUGUUUCUAGGCCAUGAAACUUAAUUUCCUCUUAAUAUUCACUUACCUACAGCCCAAACUCUCCAUGUAUUUUGCCAGAUAUUACUUAUGAGCUACAAACAGGGCAAUUACUUUUUCUGCUUCAUGAGAUUACUCAUACACACACAAAAAAAGCAUUUUAAGGCUGCUGCUGCUGAUUGCAUCUGAGGCCACAGAAGUUACCCUGCGCCUUCCUCUGAAGACACAAAGCAAACUUUCCUUUCUCCUGAUUCGGGUAAUUUCCACCACAGAACAGCUUUUCCAUAGCAGUAAUAAACUAGUUUGGGAAUCUUUGGAAGCCAAACAACAAUAAAAUACAAAAAAUGUAGAUGGCAUAUGGCUGGUGUUAGUCUGUUUUCCCUUCAAGUUCUUCCCGGUUUUUGAUAGCUUCAUAAGGGCCUAAUUGUUGGCAGCACCAAAAUAAAAGAUUUUUAAACUUUAUACUUACUAAGUGCUUUUUGUCAUUUCCUCACCUCUCUAUACAUUCCUACCUGAUCACCAAAUUAUUAUGGAGAUUUGAACAGUGCUUGGC
rnacentral:lncRNA from 1 species